rnacentral:rRNA from 1 species
GACAGAGGGGGCAAGCGUUGCUCGGAAUCACUGGGCGUAAAGGGCGCGUAGGCGGGAUGGCAAGUCAGUCGUGAAAUCUCUCGGCUCAACCGAGAAACGUCGGCUGAUACUGCCGUUCUUGAGGGAUGCAGAGGAGACUGGAAUUCCCGGUGUAGCGGUGAAAUGUGUAGAUAUCAGGAGGAAUACCGAUGGCGAAGGCAGGUCUCUGGGCUGACACUGACGCUCAUGCACGAAAGCGUGGGGAGCAAACAGG